GGCAAGAUGGCCGAGCGGUCUAAGGCGCCAGGUUAAGGUCUACCUUAACAGCAAGCUUCAGCUUCCUGGUCAACGUAAGUUGGCGUGGGUUCGAAUCCCACUCUUGUCA